GACGAACGCUGGCGGCGUGCUUAACACAUGCAAGUCGAACGGAAAGGCCCUGCUUUUGUGGGGUGCUCGAGUGGCGAACGGGUGAGUAACACGUGAGUAACCUGCCCUUGACUUUGGGAUAACUUCAGGAAACUGGGGCUAAUACCGGAUAGGAGCUCCUGCUGCAUGGUGGGGGUUGGAAAGUUUCGGCGGGUGGGGAUGGACUCGCGGCUUAUCAGCUUGUUGGUGGGGUAGUGGCUUACCAAGGCUUUGACGGGUAGCCGGCCUGAGAGGGUGACCGGCCACAUUGGGACUGAGAUACGGCGCAGACUCCUACGGGAGACAGCAGUGGGGAAUAUUGCACAAUGGGCGGAAGCCUGAUGCAGCAACGCCGCGGGCGGGAUGACGGCCUUCGGGUUGUAAACCGCUUUCGCCUGUGACGAAGCGUGAGUGACGGUAAUGGGUAAAGAAGCACCGGCUAACUACGUG
rnacentral:rRNA from 1 species